UACAGGGGGGGCAAGCGUUGUUCGGAAUUACUGGGCGUAAAGGGUCUGUAGGUGGCUUGCUAAGUCAGACGUGAAAUCCCUCAGCUUAACUGGGGAACUGCGUCUGAUACUGGCAAGCUUGAGUGCAGGAGAGGAACGCGGAAUUCCAGGUGUAGCGGUGAAAUGCGUAGAUAUCUGGAGGAACACCGGUGGCGAAGGCGGCAUUCUGGACCGAUAUUGACGCUGAGGAGCGAAAGCCAGGGGAGCAAACGGG
rnacentral:rRNA from 1 species